CCCUUAGAUGUUCUGGGCGGCCCGCGCACUACAUUGGCACUCUCAAUAAGUUCCUAGAUCUAAAACUUUGGGGUGUUCUAUUAAGUGGUGUCGUGACUGGGAUUAACCCUUGCAAUUAUUGGUUACGAACGAGGAAUUCCUUGUAAUCGCGGUUUAUCAGCCCGCGUUGAAUGCGUCCCUGCCCUUUGUACACACCGCCCGUCGCUCCUACCGAUGAAUCGUCCGGUGAAGUUCAUGGAGUGGUGGUUGUUCCAGCUGCUGUCGAAGUGAAGUGGACCUCACGAUUUAGAGGAAGGAGAAGUCGUAACA
rnacentral:rRNA from 1 species